UUUUGAAUUAUAGGCCAAUUCGAUUAGGUGCGACUGAGUUUCAUUUACCAUCAGUGCUCCACUAAUAAGGAGGAAAAUCAAGAUUUGAAUCAUGAUAUUCAACUAUAAUUCAAAUUGAAGUAUUUGAUGAAAUAUUCUCUUUUAAGAUGUUUUGUUAAAUGAUGUAUGAUGAAAUGAUGUGUUUCAAUUCAAUUUAAUUAC
rnacentral:lncRNA from 1 species